GAGGACCCCUGCCCUUCUGGCCUCGGGGAAGGCUUCAAAGGAACAGAUGGGGAAACUGAGGCCCAGAGAGUCAGGGCCAAGGCUCACACUGCCAGUUAGAGGAGAGGUGGAGCUAGAACAUGGACUGUUGACGGGUGAUCCUGACUGUCCCUGGGGCUGCACACUGGAACCACUUACCUGGCCUGCCCCCGAGAGUCUGACCCGUCAUGCAUAUCCUGGACAUCAGAGUCCACGAGAGUGACGUGAGAACAAGUCAGAAGAAGAAUCGUAUUCCAUGACCCGUGAAAAUGACGUGAAAUUUAUAAAGUUUUAUUGGAAGGCUGCCACGCCUGGUUGUUUACAGACCGUCUGGAUGCUUGUGCCCCGAGAUGGCAGGUGAUGGUCACAACAGUGCCUGAGUCACAGAGAGUGGGGCAAAGAGCCCUCGGAGAAUGGGGAUGCUCCAGGAUGAUUCCCCUUUGGAGGCUGCUAGAGAUACCCUCGCUGAUAAGGGGCUGAUUUGUGAAGACUUAAUUAUGGCCCCGAGCCCUCCCUGUAAACAAUCGAUGCUAUCCAAGAGGCGCUUGAUGCUGCUGCUCUUGGUGAACCUGGGACCUGGGACUAGUUCUCUGAGGACAAGGCCAUGGCAGCCGAAUCCAGGAGGCCGGCACUGACAUAGAUCCUACCUGAGGGGCAGGGCUGGGGGCCCACCAGCUGGUGAGUGCAGGAGAGUGAAGCAUAAUAAAAUGAGGUAUGCUUGUGAAUGAGAGAGAAAUGAGGGAUUGUGCCAAACGAAGGACAUUUAGACUGACAACGGACUUCUCAUCCACAGCAAUGGGAUGCCAGCAAAGUAGAGAACGACAUCUUCCAGGUAGUCGGGGAAGUAACUUUCCAUCAAGAAGCCUCUACUCCACUAAACUAGAAUGGCAUAAAUAAUUGGGUACAAAGAAGUGGGCUGAGGCAGGAUCUGGGGUGAGAAGUUUCUGUUGAUUAGGUUGGGAAUAGGACUGAUGGUCUUCAAACCAGGUUGGUGCAGAGUGGGAAAGGUGGGCUAAUCUGGUUUUUUGGAGGGUGGCUUCACUUUCCUUAGGUCAGAGACUGAGGUCUAGUCCGGAGAACAACAUCAAGUGGGGAGAGAAGCCUAGGAUCUGGCAAGAUCAAAAGGAUAGGGUCAAAACUACAAGUGACCCUUUUCACCCUGGAGCCAUGCUGGUUUCCAGGGAGAGCCACACCUUCCCUCAUCUCCACGUGACCCAUUCCUUAGACUCCACUUAGAUGUUACCUUUUCUGGCAUGUUUUCCCCAACCCCUCACCAGACACACCUUCUCUCCCUGUGAACUCCCCUAUCAACUGUCUUAGAUAAUAAUAUCUGGACUUCUGUGUUCUCCUUCCCUAUGAGAUGCCCACCCAGGAUCAGUGGAAACUCACCUGUACACCCCACACAAACUCCUCUGGCUCACCUUCCCUGGUGGGCAGGCAGGAAAUGUGGACACUUCAGCCACACUCCAGCUGCCUUUGGUCUGAGGAAGACUUCCGUGGAGCCAGAGAACCAGAAUGCCUGCCACUCCCUAAGGAGUGCUCUGAGAAGCUCCCAUCUCGGUGCCUGAGAAACGGGGUCAAAGGGUCCUCUGGGUUGCCCUGGAGAAUGGAGAGUAAAGGGUCAGCAGCCCAUUAUGGCCUAGGCCAGCUGUCAUCACUUCCUAUUGUCCCCAGCCUGUCCUCUGGGAAGAUGUGGGGAGGAAGUCCCAGUCCUACAACAUACCAAUCUU